rnacentral:rRNA from 1 species
UACGGGAGGCAGCAGUGGGGAAUCUUGCACAAUGGAGGAAACUCUGAUGCAGCGAUGCCGCGUGAGUGAAGAAGGCCUUUGGGUUGUAAAGCUCUUUUGUAGGGGAAGAUAAUGACUGUACCCUAAGAAUAAGGUCCGGCUAACUUCGUGCCAGCAGCCGCGGUAAUACGAAGGGACCUAGCGUAGUUCGGAAUUACUGGGCGUAAAGCGCGCGUAGGCCGUUGAGUUAGUUAAUUGUGAAAUCCCAAAGCUUAACUUUGGAACUGCAAUUAAAACUGCUCGACUAGAGUUUGAUAGAGGAAAGCGGAAUACAUAGUGUAGAGGUGAAAUUCGUAGAUAUUAUGUAGAACACCAGUUGCGAAGGCGGCUUUCUGGAUCAACACUGACGCUGAGGCGCGAAAGUAUGGGUAGCAAAGAGGAUUAGAUACCCUCGUAGUCCAUACCAUAAACGAUGAUUGCUAGAUGUGGAAAUUUAUUUUCAGUAUCGCAGC